UCAUUGCUCUUGAUGACCACCCGUUGUCAGUUGUAGAUAAUACAGGAUUUCGUCGUCUUCUUUGUGUACUUGAGCUGAAGUAUGAGAUUCCCAGCCGUCACCACAUUACAGAUACCGCAUUACCAAAGCUGCAUGACUUAGUGAAAAAGCACAUCAGACUUCAACUUCACCACUGAUAUUUGGACUAGCAGUAUCAGCCCAAUGUCUCUUAUAAGUUUAACAGCACAGUGGAUUGAUGAGGAUUUUACUCCCCAGAGUCAUUUUAGAGGUUUACUCCCCAGAGUCAAGCAAUGCAGUUUAAGGGUUCGCACACUGGCCAAGCCGUAGCAGGUGUGUUUGAUGACAUGCUUCAGACAUGGGGGAUUCCCACAGCAACAAGAAAAAAUACUUUUGCGCUCAAGGAGAUCCAGUCUACAUGUAUUAUUCCACACCUCUAUCGCAAAAUUACUUGCACGGAGUCACACAGUCGAUUGGUGUCACAAGUUCCUCUCACACAAAUCGCUGGAGCACGCAGCCCGCUCUGAAACCCAGAGCUUGCAGCGCGACAUUGACUUUGUUUACUUUUACAUGUACAUUGGUGUGAUUUCUGUCCUGCCUCCGUCCUCGUAUUGUCAUUGACCAAUCUCCCUUAUAUGUCAUCAUUAGUCUCAGGUGUUUUGUGUUCAUCUUUGAUUAUGUGUGUCAUUUAAACCCCUUGUGUCAUAUUGUUUGUUGCGAAGUAUUGUGUGAGUUUUCAGUAUUCCAAACCGCUGCUCUUUGUUUCUGUGCCAUAGUUUUGAUCUUGUUCUCUCCCUCAUUCUUCAAUUCUGUUUUGCCUCGUUCAUGCCCAUUUGUCGUUCACCUGACCUUUUGCCUGUUCUGGCCACGCCUAUGUUUCACGAUAUGGAUUUGUUUGCUUAUCUCUCAUAUAAUAAAGCUCUUAUCUGCAUUUGCA